rnacentral:rRNA from 1 species
AUGGAGGAGUGGUUCUUAAGCUUGUGUUUCGCAACAGCAUGCACGCUACUAGCCCUUUUGUUUGUCAGGCUGUCCGGCGGCAAUAGCAGGCCGGCCGCCAAAAAGCAGCUGCCUCCAGGUCCAUGGACUCUCCCCAUCAUCGGCAGCCUCCACCACGUCAUCAGCCUCCUCCCGCAUCGCGCGAUGAUGAAGCUAUCUCGCAGGCACGGGCCGUUGAUGGUCCUCAGGCUAGGCGAGGUCCCCAUCGUGGUUGUCUCGAGCGCCGAGGCAGCGGCGCUGGUGAUGAAGACCAACGACCUUUCGUUCGCCGACCGGCCGCGCAGCGUUACGGUGGACAUCUUCGGCUGCGGAGGCAACGACGUGGCCUUCGCCGCCUACGGUGACCACUGGCGUCAGAUGCGCAAGAUCUGCGUCAUGGAGCUCCUCAGCUUGACGCAGGUGAAGCGCAUGGAGGGCAUCAGGGCUGACGAGGUGGGCAGCCUCCUCCGCAACAUCGUGGCCACCGCAUCGACCGGUGCCCCCAUCAACGUCAGCGAGAAGGUGAUGGCGCUCAGCAACGACGUGGUGACGCGUGCGGUUUUCGGCGGCAAAUUUGCACAGCAGUGCGAGUACCUCCACGAGUUGAAAGAGGUGUUGAGGCUGCUGGGCAGCUUCUCUCCGGUUGACCUCUUCCCCUCAUCGCGGCUGGUGCGGUGGCUGAGCAGCGAUGAGCGCCACAUGAAGAGAAGCUAUGGCCGCAUACAGCGCAUCAUUGCCAAUGUCAUCGAGGAGCGCAAGGCGGUGCCAGCCUCCAUCGCCGGGGAUGAGGACCUGCUGGACGUGCUGCUCAGGCUGCAGCACGAGGACUCGCUGGAAUUCCCUCUAACCACGCAAACAAUAGGCGCAGUCUUGUUCGACAUAUUUGCAGCUGCUACGGACACUACAGGAACCACGUUGGCAUGGGCCAUGUUUGAGCUUAUGCAUAGUCGUGAGACUAUGGAAAAAACACAACAAGAAGUACGUGAGGUGUUGGGUGAGAACAAAGCUCUCAUUACCAAUAGUGACAUCCCUAAACUCCAGUCGGUGCAGAUGGUCAUCAAGGAAACCCUUAGGUUGCAUCCACCCGCUCCUCUAGUUCCACGCGCAGCCAGAGAGGAUUGUAUUAUCAUGGGUUAUGAUAUCCCUAAAGGUAUCAAUGUAUACAUUAAUCUAUUCUCAAUCUCCCAUGAUCCUGCAUAUUGGAACAGUCCUGGAGAGUUUAGACCGGAGAGGUUUGAGAACAACAACGUGAACUACAAUGGGACAUACUUUGAGUUCAUUCCCUUUGGAACUGGGCGACGACAAUGCCCAGGGAUUCAAUUUGGCUCGUCACUCAUGGAGAUGGCACUAACAAACUUUAUGUAUCACUUCAACUGGAAGCUUCUUGAUGGAGCUAGCCUUGAUUCAGUUGACAUGUCCGAGAAAUUUGGGAUUACGGUAAGCAGAAGGUAUGACCUGAAACUCGGAGCUAUUCCACACGUGUGGCCCAAUGCUAUGUCAUCCGACUGA